rnacentral:rRNA from 1 species
GACCAAGGAGUCUAGCAUGUGCGCGAGUCAUUGGGACUCUAACUAAACCUAAAGGCGCAAUGAAAGUGAAGGUCCGCCUCGCGCGGACCGAGGGAGGAUGGGCCGGCCCUCGGGCCGACCCCGCACUCCCGGGGCGUCUCGUUCUCAUCGCGAGAAGAGGCGCACCCAGAGCGUACACGCUGGGACCCGAAAGAUGGUGAACUAUGCCUGGUCAGGACGAAGUCAGGGGAAACCCUGAUGGAG